UGAAAAGACAAAAAGAUUGCUAGAUGCUUAGGGUUUAUUAUAUGUAGGAUAUAUAUGCUGGGGAAAAGUCUUACAAACGAAAUACAGGGUCUUCAAGGGUUAGGGUACAAAUGCUGGGAAAUACAAAGUCUUCAAGGGUAGGGUACAAAUGCUGGGAAAUACAGAGUCUUCAAAGGUUAGGGUAUACAUGCUGGGGGGGAAAGUCUCAAAAACGGAAUACAGAGUCUACAAAGGUUAGUGUAUAUAUGCUGAGGGGAAAAAAUCUCAAAAAUGAAAUACCAGAGUCUUCAAAGAUUAGGGUAUUCAUGCCGGGGGGGGGGAGUCUCAAAAACGGAAUACAGAGUCUUCAAAGGUUAGGGUAUAUAUGCUGGGGAAAAAGUCUCAAAAAUGAAAUACAGAGUCUUCAAAGGUUAGGGUAUAUAUGCUGGGGAAAAAAGUCUCAAAAAAUGGAAUACAGAGUCUUCAAAGGUUAGUGUAUAUAUGCUGGGGGAAAAAGUCUCAAAAAAAAAAAAAAAACAGAAUACAGAGUCUUCAAGGGUUAGGGUAUAUAUGCUGGGAAAAAAGUCUCAAAAAUGAAAUACAGAGUCUUCAAAGGUUAGGGUAUAUAUGCUGGGGGAAAAAAAAUCUCAAAAACGGAAUACAGAGUCUUCAAAGGUUAGGGUAUAUAUGCUGGGGAAAAAGUCUCAAAAAUGAAAUACAGAGUCUUCAAAGGUUAGGGUAUAUAUGCUGGGGAAAAAAGUCUCAAAAAAUGGAAUACAGAGUCUUCAAAGGUUAGUGUAUAUAUGCUGGGGGAAAAAGUCUCAAAAAAAAAAAAAAAACAGAAUACAGAGUCUUCAAGGGUUAGGGUAUAUAUGCUGGGAAAAAAGUCUCAAAAAUGAAAUACAGAGUCUUCAAAGGUUAGGGUAUAUAUGCUGGGG
rnacentral:sRNA from 1 species